rnacentral:rRNA from 1 species
GAUGAACGCUGGCGGCGUGCCUAACACAUGCAAGUCGAGCGAACAGACGAGGAGCUUGCUGCUCUGACGUUAGCGGCGGACGGGUGAGUCACACGUGGAUAACCUACCUAUAAGACUGGGAUAACGACGGGAAACCGGAUCUAAUACCGGAUAAUAUACUGAACCGCAUGGUUCAAUAGUGAAAGACGGCUUUGCUGUCACUUAUAGAUGGAUCCGCGCCGCAUUAGCUAGUUGGUAAGGUAACGGCUUACCAAGGCGACGAUGCGUAGCCGACCUGAGAGGGUGAUCGGCCACACUGGAACUGAGACACGGUCCAGACUCCUACGGGAGGCAGCAGUAGGGAAUCUUCGGCAAUGGGCGAAAGCCUGACGGAGCAACGCCGCGUGAGUGAUGAAGGUCUUCGGAUCGUAAAGCUCUGUUAUUAGGUAAGAACAAAUGUGUAAGUAACUAUGCACGUCUUGACGGUACCUAAUCAGAAAGCCACGGCUAACUACGUG